rnacentral:rRNA from 1 species
CGAUGGGGAUGCGUUCCAUUAGAUAGUAGGCGGGGUAACGGCCCACCUAGUCUUCGAUGGAUAGGGGUUCUGAGAGGAAGGUCCCCCACAUUGGAACUGAGACACGGUCCAAACUCCUACGGGAGGCAGCAGUGAGGAAUAUUGGUCAAUGGGCGAGAGCCUGAACCAGCCAAGUAGCGUGAAGGAUGACUGCCCUAUGGGUUGUAAACUUCUUUUAUAAAGGAAUAAAGUCGGGUAUGUAUACCCGUUUGCAUGUACUUUAUGAAUAAGGAUCGGCUAACUCCGUGCCAGCAGCCGCGGUAAUACGGAGGAUCCGAGCGUUAUCCGGAUUUAUUGGGUUUAAAGGGAGCGUAGAUGGAUGUUUAAGUCAGUUGUGAAAGUUUGCGGCUCAACCGUAAAAUUGCAGUUGAUACUGGAUAUCUUGAGUGCAGUUGAGGCAGGCGGAAUUCGUGGUGUAGCGGUGAAAUGCUUAGAUAUCACGAAGAACUCCGAUUGCGAAGGCAGCCCGCUAAGCUGCAACUGACAUUGAGGCUCGAAAGUGUGGGUAUCAAACAGGAUUAGAUACCCUGGUAGUCCACACGGUAAACGAUGAAUACUCGCUGUUUGCGAUAUACGGCAAGCGGCCAAGCGAAAGCGUUAAGUAUUCCACCUGGGGAGUAC